rnacentral:ncRNA from 1 species
GUUGAAGCGAAGAAAAGAUAAGUAAGAGCUGCGGUUGCUAAGAGAGCCGGUGUUUGGUGAAAACCGGUCGAUUCACGUUCUGAAAAUGGUCUUGGAGCUUUUGUUAGAGUGAGCGUUUGUGAGCUCUGGCCGGGAAUCGCCCGUUAUAGCGAAUGGUUUUCGAAUAUUGAGAACCUAGAAAGGGUAGCACCGUGAGAUGCUACCAAACACACCAGGUGGUAACGCGAAUUUUCGUCCCGGGU